rnacentral:rRNA from 1 species
GACGAACGCUGGCGGCGUGCUUAACACAUGCAAGUCGAACGGAAAGGCCCUGCUUGCAGGGUACUCGAGUGGCGAACGGGUGAGUAACACGUGGGUGAUCUGCCCUGCACUUCGGGUUAAGCCUGGGAAACUGGGUCUAAUACCGGAUAGGAGCCAUUUUUAGUGUGAUGGUUGGAAAGUUUUUUCGGUGUAGGAUGAGCUCGCGGCCUAUCAGCUUGUUGGUGGGGUAAUGGCCUACCAAGGCGGCGACGGGUAGCCGGCCUGAGAGGGUGGACGGCCACAUUGGGACUGAGAUACGGCCCAGACUCCUACGGGAGGCAGCAGUGGGGAAGAUUGCACAAUGGGCGCAAGCCUGAUGCAGCGACGCCGCGUGGGGGAUGACGGCCUUCGGGUUGUAAACUCCUUUCGCUAGGGACGAAGCUUUUUGUGACGGUACCUAGAGAAGAAGCACCGGCUAACUACGUG